rnacentral:rRNA from 1 species
GCUGGCGGCACGCCUUAUACAUGCAAGUCGAACGAAGUAGCAAUACUUAGUGGCAGACGGGUGAGUAACAUGUGGGUAUCUUCCCUUUGGUGAGGAAUAACACGAGGAAACUUGUGCUAAUACCUCAUAAGUCUUUACGGAGAAAGCUUUAUGCGCCAAUGGAUGAGCCCGCACUUGAUUAGUUUGUUGGUGGGGUAAUGGCCUACCAAGACUUUGAUCAAUAGCUGAUCUGAGAGGAUGAUCAGCCACAUUGGGACUGAGACACGGCCCAAACUCCUACGGGAGGCAGCAGUAGGGAAUAUUGCACAAUGGAGGAAACUCUGAUGCAGCGAUGCCGCGUGAGUGAAGAAGGCCCUUGGGUUGUAAAGCUCUUUCGUCGGGGAAGAAAAUGACUGUACCCGAAUAAGAAGGUCCGGCUAACUUCGUGCCAGCAGCCGCGGUAAUACGAAGGGACCUAGCGUAGUUCGGAAUUACUGGGCUUAAAGAGUUCGUAGGUGGUUAAAAAAGUUGGUUGUGAAAUCCCGGAGCUUAACUCCGGAACUGCAAUCAAAACUUUUUAGCUAGAGUAUGAUAGAGGAAAGCAGAAUUUCUAGUGUAGAGGUGAAAUUCGUAGAUAUUAGAAAGAAUACCAAUUGCGAAGGCAGCUUUCUGGAUCAUUACUGACACUGAGGAACGAAAGCAUGGGUAGCGAAGAGGAUUAGAUACCCUCGUAGUCCAUGCCGUAAACGAUGUGUGUUAGACGUUGGAAAUUAAUUUUUAGUGUCGCAGCGAAAGCAAUAAACACACCGCCUGGGGAG